rnacentral:lncRNA from 1 species
UAAUUGUUUUGAUGUUAAAUGAGAUGAUUUGUAUGAUAAUUAAAUUAGGGAGAUGUUAUAGGAAAUAGAAAUGACACUCUCGGAUGUGAUAGAGAAUUUGAUGUGGAAAUUAAGAAGGAAAGAAAUCGGUGGAGUGUUUCAAAGGAUUGAUUAAAGCUGUUGAGGAUGCUAAGAUGGAGCUAAGAAGAAGAAAGCAGAGAAAGAAGAAGAAGGUCGACAAUGAGAAAGC